UACGUAGGGAGCGAGCGUUGUCCGGAAUUACUGGGUGUAAAGGGAGUGUAGGCGGGAUGGUAAGUUAGGUGUGAAAUGCGGAGGCUCAACCUCCGAGCUGCACUUAAAACUGCUGUUCUUGAGUGAAGUAGAGGUUGGCGGAAUUCCCAGUGUAGCGGUGAAAUGCGUAGAUAUUGGGAGGAACAUCAGUGGCGAAGGCGGCCAACUGGGCUUUUACUGACGCUGAGGCUCGAAAGCGUGGGGAGCAAACA
rnacentral:rRNA from 1 species